UCGCCCCGGAAGUGGUCGCAGUCAGCCCGGAAGAAGAAACCGCAGCGCGGCGUCCCCUUCAGGCGCACCGGAGGGGGUUGGCUCCUGGGCCGGUGUUUCCUCCGUGAGAGAGCAGGCAGUCAGGAAGGGACGAUGGAUAUAAAGAGAGCGAGCGAAGACAGGCUGGGACCCAGGAGGACAGACUGGAAUUCAUGUCAGUCCCCCACGCCCCCAGCUCCGAUAAUGUGGAGUCCUCCAGGUAAAGCUGGUGUCCCUCGUCCCUGAAGGAAACCUACACCUGGAACUGGGAGCUGAAGGAGGAGCCCACACCAAGGAGGGGAGCUGGAAGGGCGGCCGCAAUGUCUUCCGCACUGAGGACGUCUGUGAUGCUCAUUGUCCACCUGUCCACACGGGAUAAGGGAC